rnacentral:rRNA from 1 species
AUUGAACGCUGGCGGCAGGCCUAACAUAUGCAAGUCGAGCGGCAGCGGAAAGUAGCGUGCUACUUGCCGGCGAGCGGCGGACGGGUGAGUAAUGUCUGGGAAACUGCCUGAUGGAGGGGGAUAACUACUGGAAACGGUAGCUAAUACCGCAUGACCUCGAAAGAGCAAAGUGGGGGAUCUUCGGACCUCACGCCAUCGGAUGUGCCCAGAUGGGAUUAGCUAGUAGGUGAGGUAAUGGCUCACCUAGGCGACGAUCCCUAGCUGGUCUGAGAGGAUGACCAGCCACACUGGAACUGAGACACGGUCCAGACUCCUACGGGAGGCAGCAGUGGGGAAUAUUGCACAAUGGGCGCAAGCCUGAUGCAGCCAUGCCGCGUGUGUGAAGAAGGCCUUAGGGUUGUAAAGCACUUUCAGCGAGGAGGAAGGCAUCAUACUUAAUACGUGUGGUGAUUGACGUUACUCGCAGAAGAAGCACCGGCUAACUCCGUGCCAGCAGCCGCGGUAAUACGGAGGGUGCAAGCGUUAAUCGGAAUUACUGGGCGUAAAGCGCACGCAGGCGGUUUGUUAAGUCAGAUGUGAAAUCCCCGCGCUUAACGUGGGAACUGCAUUUGAAACUGGCAAGCUAGAGUCUUGUAGAGGGGGGUAGAAUUCCAGGUGUAGCGGUGAAAUGCGUAGAGAUCUGGAGGAAUACCGGUGGCGAAGGCGGCCCCCUGGACAAAGACUGACGCUCAGGUGCGAAAGCGUGGGGAGCAAACAGG